AUUGAACGCUGGCGGCAGGCCUAACACAUGCAAGUCGAACGGUAACGGGAAGAACCUUGCUUCUUUGCUUACGAGUGGCGGGCGUGUGAGUAAUGUCUGUGAAACUGCCUGAUGGAGGGGGAUAACUACUGGAAACGGUAGCUAAUACCGCAUAACGUCUCAAGACCAAAAAGUGGGACCUUCAGGCCUCUUGCCAUCGGAUUUGCCCAGAUGGGAUUAGCUAUUAGGUGGGGUAACGGCUCACCUAGGCGACGAUCCCUAGCUGGUCUGAGAGGAUGACCAGCCACACUGGAACUGAGACACGGUCCAGACUCCUACGGGAGGCAGCAGUGGGGAAUAUUGCACAAUGGGCGAAAGCCUGAUGCAGCAAUGCCGCGUGUAUGAAGAAGGCCUUCGGGUUGUAAAGUACUUUCAGCGGGGAGGAAGGGAGUAAAGUUAAUACAUUUGCUCAUUGACGUUACCCGAAGAAGAAGCCCCGGCUAACUCCGUG
rnacentral:rRNA from 1 species